GCAAGUCGAGGGGUAACAGAGGUAGCUUGCUACUUGCUGACGACCGGCGCACGGGUGCGUAACGCGUAUAGAAUCUGCCUCAUACUGAGGGAUAGCCUUUGGAAACGAAGAUUAAUACCUCAUAGUAUCAUUUAACGGCAUCGUUUAGUGAUUAAAGGUUACGGUACAAGAUGACUAUGCGUUCUAUUAGCUAGAUGGAGUGGUAACGGCACCCCAUGGCAACGAUAGAUAGGGGCCCUGAGAGGGGGAUC
rnacentral:rRNA from 1 species